rnacentral:rRNA from 1 species
GAUGAACGCUGGCGGCGUGCUUAACACAUGCAAGUCGAACGGAAAGGCCCAAGCUUGCUUGGGUACUCGAGUGGCGAACGGGUGAGUAACACGUGGGUGAUCUGCCCUGCACUUCGGGAUAAGCCUGGGAAACUGGGUCUAAUACCGGAUAGGACCACAUUUUGGAUGGUGUGGUGGAAAGUUUUUCGGUGUGGGAUGAGCUCGCGGCCUAUCAGCUUGUUGGUGGGGUAAUGGCCUACCAAGGCGUCGACGGGUAGCCGGCCUGGGAGGGUGUACGGCCACAUUGGGACUGAGAUACGGCCCAGACUCCUACGGGAGGCAGCAGUGGGGAAUAUUGCACAAUGGGCGCAAGCCUGAUGCAGCGACGCCGCGUGGGGGAUGACGGCCUUCGGGUUGUAAACUCCUUUCGCUAGGGACGAAGCGUUAUGUGACGGUACCUGGAGAAGAAGCACCGGCUAACUACGUG